rnacentral:rRNA from 1 species
UACGUAGGUGGCAAGCGUUGUCCGGAUUUAUUGGGUUUAAAGGGUGCGUAGGUGGUCUAUUAAGUCAGUGCUGAAAUAUCCCGGCUUAACCGGGAGGGUGGCAUUGAUACUGAUGGACUUGAGUAAAGUUGAGGUGGGCGGAAUUGACGGUGUAGCGGUGAAAUGCUUAGAUAUCAGGAGGAACACCGGUGGCGAAGGCGGGUCUCUGGGCAGUAACUGACGCUGAGGAGCGAAAGCGUGGGGAGCGAACAGG